rnacentral:misc_RNA from 1 species
AGGAACUAUUUUCUUCUUCCAUUUAUUUCCCCUUUCGCUUCUUUAUCUCAGUAAUUCUAUACUUGAAAACCUAGAACAAAUUGCUAUACCAAAAAGACAAAAAAAAAAAAAAAAANNNNCCUCAGCCGAACCUUUUUAUCUUCGUGUUCUUCAUCAGCUGAAUCGAAGAAGAAGGCUCGAAUUCAAGCAAGCACCUUCCAGAACUAAAGGAAGUAAAUCUCUC